rnacentral:misc_RNA from 1 species
GAUGAAGAACGUAGCGAAAUGCGAUACUUGGUGUGAAUUGCAGAAUCCCGUGAACCAUCGAGUCUUUGAACGCAAGUUGCGCCCGAAGCCAUCAGGUUGAGGGCACGUCUGCCUGGGCGUCACAUAUCGUUGCUCGAUGCCUAUCGCAUUGCGAUAGGACUUAGGGCGAAUGAUGGCUUCCCGUGAGCGUUGUUGCCUCGCGGUUGGUUGAAAAUCGAGUCCUUGGUAGGGUGUGCCAUGAUGGAUGGUGGUUGAGUGAUGAUGCUCGGGACCAAUCAUGGGUAACUCCACCAGAAUUGGGCUCGGUGACCCACAUGCGUCCCUUGGAUGCUCCCUAAGGAGACCUCAGGUCAGGCGGGGCUACCCGCUGAGUUUAAGCAUAUCAAUAAGCGGAGGA